AGUGAACGCUGGCGGUAGGCCUAACACAUGCAAGUCGAACGGCAGCACAGUAAGAGCUUGCUCUUACGGGUGGCGAGUGGCGGACGGGUGAGGAAUACAUCGGAAUCUACUUUUUCGUGGGGGAUAACGUAGGGAAACUUACGCUAAUACCGCAUACGACCUACGGGUGAAAGCAGUGGAUCUUCGGACCUUUCGCGAUUGAAUGAGCCGAUGUCGGAUUAGCUAGUUGGCGGGGUAAAGGCCCACCAAGGCGACGAUGCGUAGCUGGUCUGAGAGGAUGAUCAGCCACACUGGAACUGAGACACGGUCCAGACUCCUACGGGAGGCAGCAGUGGGGAAUAUUGGGCAAUGGGCGCAAGCCUGAUCCAGCCAUACCGCGUGGGUGAAGAAGGCCUUCGGGUUGUAAAGCCCUUUUGUUGGGAAAGAAAAGCAGCAGGUUAAUACCCCGCUGUUCUGACGGUACCCAAAGAAUAAGCAACGGCUAACUUCGUG
rnacentral:rRNA from 1 species